rnacentral:rRNA from 1 species
AUUGAACGCUGGCGGCAGGCCUAACACAUGCAAGUCGAGCGGAUGACGGGAGCUUGCUCCUUGAUUCAGCGGCGGACGGGUGAGUAAUGCCCAGGAAUCUGCCUGGUAGUGGGGGACAACGUUUCGAAAGGAACGCUAAUACCGCAUACGUCCUACGGGAGAAAGCAGGGGACCUUCGGGCCUUGCGCUAUCAGAUGAGCCUAGGUCGGAUUAGCUAGUUGGUGGGGUAAUGGCUCACCAAGGCGACGAUCCGUAACUGGUCUGAGAGGAUGAUCAGUCACACUGGAACUGAGACACGGUCCAGACUCCUACGGGAGGCAGCAGUGGGGAAUAUUGGACAAUGGGCGAAAGCCUGAUCCAGCCAUGCCGCGUGUGUGAAGAAGGUCUUCGGAUUGUAAAGCACCUUAAGUUGGGAGGAAGGGCAGUAAGUUAAUACCUUGCUGUUUUGACGUUACCGACAGAAUAAGCACCGGCUAACUCUGUGCCAGCCGCCGCAGUAAAAC